CAUACUGUGGGUGGCGAGUGGCGGACGGGUGAGGAAUGCGUCGGAAUCUGCCCAGUUGUGGGGGAUAACUAGCCGAAAGGUUAGCUAAUACCGCAACGAGGUGAAAGCGGGGGACCGAAAGGCCUCGCGCGAUUGGAUGAGCCGACGCCGGAUUAGCUUGUUGGUAGGGUAAAGGCCUACCAAGGCGACGAUCCGUAGCUGGUCUGAGAGGAUGAUCAGCCACACUGGAACUGAGACACGGUCCAGACUCCUACGGGAGGCAGCAGUGGGGAAUAUUGGACAAUGGGCGCAAGCCUGAUCCAGCAAUGCCGCGUGUGUGAAGAAGGCCUUCGGGUUGUAAAGCACUUUUGUCCGGAACGAAAAGCGAUGGAUUAAUACUCUGUCGUACUGACGGUACCGGGUGAAUAAGCACCGGCUAACUUCGUGCCAGCAGCCGCGGUAAUACGAAGGGUGCAAGCGUUAAUCGGAAUUACUGGGCGUAAAGCGUGCGUAGAUGGCUAAUUAAGUCGGAUGUGAAAGCCCCGGGCUCAACCUGGGAAUGGCAUCCGAUACUGGUUGGCUAGAGUGCGGUAGAGGAGAGCGGAAUUCCCGGUGUAGCGGUGAAAUGCGUAGAGAUCAGGAGGAACACCGGUGGCGAAGGCGGGUCUCUGGGAAGUAACUGACGCUGAGAAGCGAAAGCAUGGGUAGCAAACAGGAUUAGAUACCCUGGUAGUCCAUGCCGUCGGUGGGUACUAGGUGUGGGGCUCCUUCCACGGACUCCGUGCCGUAGCUACGCAUUAAGUACCCCGCCGGGGAGUACGGCCGCAAGGCUAAACUCAAAGAAAUUGACGGGGGCCCGCACAAGCGGCGGAGCAGUGGAUUAAUUCGAUGCAACGCGAAAACCUUACCUGGGUUUGACAUACACCGGAAACCUGCAAGAUGUAGCCCCUUGUGGUCGGGUACGGGUGCAUGGCUGUCGUCAGCUCGUGUCGGAGAUGGGGUUAAGUCCCCAACGAGCGCAACCCUUAUCUUAUGUGCCAGCCGUAAUGG
rnacentral:rRNA from 1 species